CCAGACACAUUCAACUGGCCUCCCAGGAACCAACCGAUCUUGCCCGUCCUGAAGUCGCAGUCCCAGACAGUAUGAUAACUUUCCCGCUCGUUAUAGAAGAAGCAAGUACGUGGGUAACUCAGCCUCCGGACCUGGAACGGAGGCAGCGCUCUGAGAGAGAUCGGAAAGGCGACUAAGCGGUCAUAAGAGCGAGCUCACAGAAGGAUGAACCAUCAGCUUCCAUAGAUUGGAGUCAAAGCUUUCCUCCUUAGGGGAUCUUCUGAAAGUAAAGCCCUCUCCCAAAGCUGCUGCUGACCUCUGCCGGGACAGGUACCACUUCUUACCUUGGGGCCCUUCGCGGAUUCCAGGUGGUGGGAAGCUAUGGUAAAGAAUAAAUCCAUGUCCACAGCACACCUGGCCUGGCUGACCAUCAGCUCUGUCAUGAAGUUGAAGUUUUUUGUUAUUGAAUAAUCAAGGAUAAAAAGAAACGUGUCUCUACGAAGUACUUAAGAAGUUAAUACAUAAUAAAAGAAAAUAAACACUAGAGGUCGGG